rnacentral:rRNA from 1 species
GAUGAACGCUAGCUACAGGCUUAACACAUGCAAGUCGCGGGGCAGCAUGGGGGUUGCUUGCAAUCCCCGAUGGCGACCGGCGCACGGGUGAGUAACGCGUAUCCAACCUGCCCUUCACCACGGGAUAACCCGGCGAAAGUCGGACUAAUACCGUAUGUUGUCCAUUGACGGCAUCCGAUUUGGACGAAAGGUUUGGCGGUGAAGGAUGGGGAUGCGUCCGAUUAGCUGGACGGCGGGGUGACGGCCCACCGUGGCGACGAUCGGUAGGGGUUCUGAGAGGAAGGUCCCCCAAACUGGAACUGAGACACGGUCCAGACUCCUACGGGAGGCAGCAGUGAGGAAUAUUGGUCAAUGGGCGUAAGCCUGAACCAGCCAAGUAGCGUGCAGGAGGACGGCCCUAUGGGUUGUAAACUGCUUUUAUGCGGGGAUAAAGUGGCCCACGUGUGGGUUUUUGCAGGUACCGCAUGAAUAAGGACCGGCUAAUUCCGUG